GAUGACAAAAAAUGUUUCAUUGUAGUGUGCGCUGAGCUGGACGCCUGCUGAGAAAUCGAACAUAUCGCAAAUCACUCCACUCUGAGGGCUGCCGAGUGCGCGUGAGGUGCUGCACUGUGGAUGGUGGGGGGAGGGGGGAUGGGCGCGGGAGCUGUGGUGGCAUGUCUACUUCGGCCCUGCAGUGCCGACGGCCGGCGCGCACUGCUUGCCCUGCUCGUGUGGCGCUGUUAUAAUCCCGUGCCGCGCAUCUGAUCUGUGAGCGGGACGAUUCAUGCACAGCGAAGAUGCGAGGGGCGCCGCCGGCCCUGUGUUGCGCGUACGCUGGAUGCACCGUGCUGUCAUGAUUUCAACAAUGCAAUGUAUCUCCGUUACCGGACACGGUCGCCGACGACAACCAUUGAUUCAAAUAACCAAGAUCUGCUAUGAGUCUGUGUGUGCGCAGUGCGCUGCAGCGUGUUUGCCCCUUGCUCCUCCCUGGUCCUCCCUACUGCCCCUUCCUCCUCCCCCACACCCUACUCGCGCUUGUGUGUGCGCCGGCCCAUCCGCAG
rnacentral:misc_RNA from 1 species